rnacentral:tRNA from 1 species
GCACCUAGUUUACACCUAGAAGAUUUCAUAUAAACUGACCACUUUGA